rnacentral:rRNA from 1 species
UACAGAGGUCCCAAGCGUUGUUCGGAUUUAUUGGGCGUAAAGGGUGCGUAGGCGGUUGCCUAAGUCAGAUGUGAAAUCCCGGGGCUCAACCUCGGAACUGCAUUUGAUACUGGGUAACUUGAGUACUGGAGGGGAGACUGGAAUUUACGGUGUAGCAGUGAAAUGCGUAGAUAUCUGGAGGAACACCGGUGGCGAAGGCGGAUCACUGGACUGCCACUGACGCUGAGGCGCGAAAGCUAGGGGAGCAAACAGG